CUAGAAAGAUGGGUGGAAUUGAUUGCUGAUGAGUGGUUUCUCAGAUAUUUAGCUAAUUAGAAAAUGGAGUAUAAAGUCCUGAGGACUGACUGGAUGGGGAGAGGCAAGGGAGGUGUGGGGAGAGGUGGCACUAACGGUACUAGAUUGUUUUUAUGCAGCAAUUACAUCCCAGUUCAAACUAGCUUAAGCCUGAAAGGAAAUGGAUUGACUCAGUAUGGGUAAAGUCCUAGAAGUAGAUCAGAUGCUUUAGACAUGGCUGGAUCCAGGAGUUCAGAUGAUGUCUUUAGGAGCAGGUCCCUUUCUGACUGCAUCUGCUGCUUUGGCUUCACUCUUUUCCUCAUGGUGGCAAGACAGCACCUGGCACAUCCUCAUAAGGUAGUAACUCUAGCAGAAGAGAACUUCUCAAUAUUUUCAGGAAAUAUCCUAGAACUGAGCCUAACUGGCUAGACUCUGGUAACAUAAACACUCUUGGAGCAAAAAAAAAAAAAAAAAAAAAAAAAAAGAAGCAGAAGCUAUUCCAUCUGGAGCAAAUAGACCCAAGAUGGUGGAGGACAUCUGAGGAGCUAUCACCAGCACAGUAGGGAACGGAUGCGAGGCAGACAAGAAUGAGAGCGCUCAUGACAGAUGAGUAGAAGAAGAGGGAGAAUCUUCAGAACAGAACACAAGAUGUCUGGUCAGCCAGUUAAAAGGGAACGAUGUUGUAAAAGUCUAGAAUGUUUCCUGAAGGCUAGGUACCUCUGAAAAGGAAGACAACAAUGACUCCAUUGGCUCAGACAGAAAAGGGGACCAAAGGGCCUUCUGUGCACAGCAUGGGAUGAAGGAACACAGGAAAACCACACUUCCCAUUCUCUUCUUUCAUCUACGGGCGGCCCUGUGAUCAGUUCUGACUACCGGAAUGUGGACAGAGGUGGAAAUGACACUAGUGAGCUCACCCCUAAAGCCUCCCACAAGAUCAUCUCUGCUCCUUCUCUCCUCUCAUGGUCUGCCUGCCAGUUGCAGAAGAUCCAGGAUAAGAUUCUGAGCCCCUUCAAGCUGUUGCUGCCUCCCCAACCAUAGUGUAAAAAUCUGCCUACCAAUCAUGUUAUUGACAGAGAUGUAAGGAAGAAAUAAAUCUUUUAUUGUGCGAACCACUAA